rnacentral:rRNA from 1 species
AUCGAACGCUGGCGGCAGGCUUAACACAUGCAAGUCGAGCGCCCCGCAAGGGGAGCGGCAGACGGGUGAGUAACGCGUGGGAAUCUACCCAUCUCUACGGAAUAACGCAUGGAAACGUGUGCUAAUACCGUAUACGUCCUUCGGGAGAAAGAUUUAUCGGAGAUGGAUGAGCCCGCGUUGGAUUAGCUAGUUGGUGGGGUAAAGGCCUACCAAGGCGACGAUCCAUAGCUGGUCUGAGAGGAUGAUCAGCCACACUGGGACUGAGACACGGCCCAGACUCCUACGGGAGGCAGCAGUGGGGAAUAUUGGACAAUGGGCGCAAGCCUGAUCCAGCCAUGCCGCGUGAGUGAUGAAGGCCCUAGGGUUGUAAAGCUCUUUCACCGGUGAAGAUAAUAACGGUAACCGGAGAAGAAGCCCCGGCUAACUUCGUGCCAGCCGCCGCCGUAAUAC